rnacentral:tRNA from 1 species
GGAUACAUGACCGAGCAGUCGAAGGUACUUGCCUGCUAAGCAAGAAGCGGAUUUUUAUUCGCUCGUAGGUGCAAAUCCUACUGUAUCCGCCA